rnacentral:rRNA from 1 species
UACGGGGGGUGCAAGCGUUAAUCGGAAUUAUUGGGCGUAAAGCGCCCGUAGGUGGUUUGAUAAGUCAGAUGUGAAAUCGCCAGGCUCAACCUGGUAACUGCAGAUGAUACUCUCAGACUUGAGUCUUGUAGGGGGGGGGAGAAUUCCAAGUGUAGCGGUGAAAUGCGUAGAGAUCUGGAGGAAUACCGGUGGCGAAGGCG